rnacentral:rRNA from 1 species
UCCAGACUCCUACGGGAGGCAGCAGUGGGGGAUAUUGCACAAUGGGGGGAACCCUGAUGCAGCGACGCCGCGUGGGUGAAGGAGCGUUUCGGCGCGUAAAGCCCUCUCGGCAGGGAAGAAGGAGGACGGUACCUGACUAAGAAGCCCCGGCUAACUACGUGCCAGCAGCCGCGGUAAUACGUAGGGGGCAAGCGUUAUCCGGAUUUACUGGGUGUAAAGGGGGCGCAGACGGCAGCGCAAGCCAGGAGUGAAAGCCCGGGGCCCAACCCCGGGACUGCUCUUGGAACUGCGCGGCUGGAGUGCAGGAGGGGCAGGCGGAAUUCCUGGUGUAGCGGUGAAAUGCGUAGAUAUUAGGAGGAACACCGGCGGCGAAGGCGGCCUGCUGGACCGUAACUGACGUUGAGGCUCGAAAGCGUGGGGAGCAAACAGGAUUAGAUACCCGUGUAA